rnacentral:rRNA from 1 species
UCAGCAGCCGCGUGUGUGAGAAGGCCUUCGGGUUGUAAAGCACUUUUGUCCGGAAAGAAAUGCUCUGUUAAUACCUGGAGUCGAUGACGGUACCGGAAGAAUAAGACCGGCUAACUACGUGCCAGCAGCCGCGGUAAUACGUAGGGUCCAAGCGUUAAUCGGAAUUACUGGGCGUAAAGCGUGCGCAGGCGGUUGUGCAAGACCGAUGUGAAAUCCCCGGGCUUAACCUGGGAAUUGCAUUGGUGACUGCACGGCUAGAGUGUGUCGAGGGGGGUAGAAUUCCACGUGUAGCAGUGAAAUGCGUAGAGAUGUGGAGGAAUACCGAU